AUUGAACGCUGGCGGCAUGCUUUACACAUGCAAGUCGAACGGCAGCGCGGGCUUCGGCCUGGCGGCGAGUGGCGAACGGGUGAGUAAUGCAUCGGAACGUGCCCAGUAGUGGGGGAUAGCCCGGCGAAAGCCGGAUUAAUACCGCAUACGACCUGAGGGUGAAAGCGGGGGACCGAAAGGCCUCGCGCUAUCGGAGCGGCCGAUGUCGGAUUAGCUAGUUGGUGGGGUAAAGGCUUACCAAGGCGACGAUCCGUAGCUGGUCUGAGAGGACGACCAGCCACACUGGGACUGAGACACGGCCCAGACUCCUACGGGAGGCAGCAGUGGGGAAUUUUGGACAAUGGGGGCAACCCUGAUCCAGCCAUGCCGCGUGCGGGAAGAAGGCCUUCGGGUUGUAAACCGCUUUUGUUCGGGAAGAAAUCCUCUGGGCUAAUACCCCGGGGGGAUGACGGUACCGGAAGAAUAAGCACCGGCUAACUACGUG
rnacentral:rRNA from 1 species